UACGAAGGGGGCUAGCGUUGCUCGGAAUGACUGGGCGUAAAGGGCGCGUAGGCGGCUUGCACAGUCAGGCGUGAAAUUCCUGGGCUCAACCUGGGGACUGCGCUUGAGACGUGUGGGCUUGAGUGGGGAAGAGGGUCGUGGAAUUCCCAGUGUAGAGGUGAAAUUCGUAGAUAUUGGGAAGAACACCGGUGGCGAAGGCGGCGACCUGGUCC
rnacentral:rRNA from 1 species